UCAAAUCUCUUACCCCAAAAUGGUCUGCCAUCAAGUUUGGUAUUUAUAUCCACCUCUUCUUCAUCUAAUCCAUGUAGCCUCUGUUCUCGAAUCAGCCAUGUAAGGGCAUUCUGCAAUUCUACUUGUCUUCCCUUCAAUGAAUAUCUGCAUCCCUAUUUUUCUUUGAAUAUGAGAUAGAUACAUGCUGCAUGGGUUGGAUCGAGAGGAUUUUUGCUGCCAUCGUUCAGUUCGCAGAAAGGGAUCUUUUUUACUAAGUCAGGAAAGAGUUGAAAAAACGAAUUCUCCUUGUAUUUCCAAAAGGCCGAGACAUGUAAUUCCUUGUU